GUCUUUGUUUGUUAACUUUUAGAAAGUAUUUUCGCACCGUAUAAAUACAUCUCAUUUUUCUCUGUUUUGUCAGUAGUUGUUUUUGGUAUUAUUCGUGCAACGUGGAAGCUAACUUAGUGGUUUGGUGUUCGUACAAAAAAGCAGUCUUAAAGAUCAUCUUAGUACUCUCAACCCGUAACCGCAAAUAGAAUAGCAGCAAUCUUAAGCAUGGACUUAAGUCAACUGAAUCAAACCUGUCUUGCAGAAGGUGAUUUUGAGCAGCCGAUUGUCAAACUGCAUGAAUUGCCGAUAGGCGUUCCGUUUAAAAUUACUAGAGCCAAAAUUGUUAAUACAAAAUUUGGCAAUUCCGUGUUGCUGCAAUUAGAAA